rnacentral:rRNA from 1 species
UCCCAGACUCCUACGGGAGGCAGCAGUGGGGAAUAUUGCACAAUGGGGGAAACCCUGAUGCAGCGACGCCGCGUGAGCGAUGAAGUAUUUCGGUAUGUAAAGCUCUAUCAGCAGGGAAGAAAAUGACGGUACCUGACUAAGAAGCCCCGGCUAACUACGUGCCAGCAGCCGCGGUAAUACGUAGGGGGCAAGCGUUAUCCGGAUUUACUGGGUGUAAAGGGAGCGUAGACGGUGAUGCAAGUCAGAAGUGAAAGCCCGCGGCUCAACUGCGGGACUGCUUUUGAAACUGUAUAACUAGAGUGCAGGAGAGGUAAGCGGAAUUCCUAGUGUAGCGGUGAAAUGCGUAGAUAUUAGGAGGAACACCAGUGGCGAAGGCGGCUUACUGGACUGUAACUGACGUUGAGGCUCGAAAGCGUGGGGAGCAAACAGGAUUAGAUACCCGUGUA